rnacentral:rRNA from 1 species
ACACAUGCAAGUCGAGCGGUAAGGCCCUUCGGGGUACACGAGCGGCGAACGGGUGAGUAACACGUGGGUGAUCUGCCUUGCACUCUGGGAUAAGCCUGGGAAACUGGGUCUAAUACCGGAUAUGACCAUGGAUUGCAUGAUCGGUGGUGGAAAGAUUUAUCGGUGCGAGAUGGGCCCGCGGCCUAUCAGCUUGUUGGUGGGGUAAUGGCCUACCAAGGCGACGACGGGUAGCCGACCUGAGAGGGUGACCGGCCACACUGGGACUGAGACACGGCCCAGACUCCUACGGGAGGCAGCAGUGGGGAAUAUUGCACAAUGGGCGGAAGCCUGAUGCAGCGACGCCGCGUGAGGGAUGACGGCCUUCGGGUUGUAAACCUCUUUCGACAGGGACGAAGCGUGAGUGACGGUACCUGUAGAAGAAGCACCGGCCAACUACGUGCCAGCAGCCGCGGUAAUACGUAGGGUGCGAGCGUUGUCCGGAAUUACUGGGCGUAAAGAGCUUGUAGGCGGUUCGUCGCGUCGAUUGUGAAAACUUGCAGCUCAACUGCAAGCUUGCAGUCGAUACGGGCGGACUAGAGUACUUCAGGGGAGACUGGAAUUCCUGGUGUAGCGGUGAAAUGCGCAGAUAUCAGGAGGAACACCGGUGGCGAAGGCGGGUCUCUGGGAAGUAACUGACGCUGAGAAGCGAAAGCGUGGGUAGCGAACAGGAUUAGAUACCCUGGUAGUCCACGCCGUAAACGGUGGGUACUAGGUGUGGGUUUCCUUCCACGGGAUCCGUGCCGUAGCUAACGCAUUAAGUACCC